CCACGGCGGCUGCCCUCUGUGGGCAGCCCCUGCCUGCCCGCCCGCGUGGCAAAAUGCGGAAUACCUAAAAGCUCCCAGGUCAGGACUGUCACAGAGACAUGCAGGACAUCCUGGUGAUGCCAGGCUCCAGACCUGCCUGGCCUGGAGGAACAUGGGAUGUAAAACAUUGGCUGUGCAUCAGCGAUUGCUUCAAGCUCAUUGCCCUCAAAGGAGUCACGGGAAAAAGCUGUUGCUGAAGCUUUGAAGCUCUGGAACACACACACAUACACUGCCAAGAACUUUGCUUUCUUGCACAUAAUCACAUUAGCUUUGCUGAUAACAAGUUGAAAAAAAAUUAUGCCAGGGAGGAAAGGUCAAUGUUUAACCUGGCUAUAAAGCUUGUUCUCAUCCAAUUAAAAGCCAGUGCAAUUA